CGAAAAUGAAUUGAAUUGAAUAAAGUAAAAGGGAAAGAGGGCACUGUCCUCGUGAAGCAGCCAACAGUGCCCAAUCCCAAUCCCAAUCCCAAUCCCAAUCCCCACCCCCCAAAGAAAAAGCAAAGCAAAGCAAAGUAAAACCCCCCAUUCCCAACAAUUUCACAAGUAAGGCGGAACCUUUUUCUUGAUCUCUCUCUCUGUAGAAGUCCAUAGAGAGAGAAAGAGAAAGGGACUGAGAGAGCAAUCAUCAAUGGCGGGAGGUGGAGGUGGAGGUGGAGGAGGGUCAGGGAGGCUGCCGACGUGGAAGGAGAGGGAGAACAACAAGAGGAGGGAGAGGAGGAGGAGGGCCAUAGCCGCCAAGAUCUACUCCGGCCUCCGAGCUCAGGGGAACUACAAGCUCCCCAAGCACUGCGACAACAAUGAGGUCCUCAAGGCCCUCUGCGACGAGGCCGGCUGGGUCGUCGAGGAAGACGGCACCACUUAUCGCAAGGGAUGCAAACCGCUGCCAUCCGAACUAGUGGGUGCUUCCACAAACAUCAGUACAUGCUCGUCCAUUCAACCCAGCCCGCAGUCGUCAUCCUUCCCGAGCCCUGUCCCGUCCUACCAUGCAAGCCCGACGUCCUCAUCCUUCCCCAGCCCAUCCCGUUUCGAUGGGAACAACCCGUCUACUUACCUCCUGCCUUUCCUCCGCAACAUCGCGUCCAUUCCCGCUAACCUCCCUCCACUGAGGAUCUCCAACAGUGCCCCGGUAACUCCUCCCCUGUCCUCCCCAACCUCGAGGAGCGGCUCGAAGAGAAAGCCCGACUGGGAGUCCAUCUCAAAUGGGUGCGGGUACCUGAACUCAUUCACCCGCCACCCGACCUUUGCAGCCUCGGCCCCAUCUAGCCCGACCCGGCGCCGGAAUCUGACCCCUCCUACAAUCCCAGAAUGUGAUGAGUCCGAUGCCUCUACCGUGGACUCAGGCCGCUGGGUUACGAGCUUCCAGGGUGCUGGAGCAGCCCCACCUUCUCCGACUUUCAACCUCAUCAAGAAGCCUGCAUGCCAACCAGGGCCACUCCACGACCCGCAUGAGGGAAACGGAGGAGGAUUCAGCUGGGCAUCAGAGUUCGAGUUUGGGAAUAGGAGAGUGACCCCCUGGGAGGGUGAGAGGAUCCACGAGAUAGCAGUCGAUGAUCUCGAGCUCACUCUCGGGAGCAGAAAGGCCCGAGCUUAGUCACAUUCUCAGUGAAAGGAGAAGAAGACUUCAUGAUUAUUUCCCAGCCUUUUAUGGCCAAUGAAGGUUCAUUUCCUGAAGAUUUCUUCGGCCCUGGAGAGCCAUUGGCGGGAUACCCCCAGUACUACAUUCUACGUGAUCCUCUGCCUACACUCAUUUGUACAGUAAUUUUUCGGUUGUAGCUGUCCCCUGGAGCAGACUUCUGUUGCAUCCGACGCCUCUGCAUAAAGAUUCAGAAUUCCGAUGGUAAUUGCUUUAGAUGGUGGGGGAGUAUGUGCAAGACCUGUUGAUAUUUGGAGAUUAACGGUCUUAAUUAAUCUCCUCUACAUGUUUCUCGAACUGUCAUGAAUUUGUUGAUUCCUGUAAUGUAUUUAUCUACUUCCCCAUCUUGGAUUGAGACGAAUGAACUUACAAGAACUACCGCUGUGAUUAUACGGCAGGGCUUGUCUCUCGAGCCACUGUGGGCCGAGUUCUAGUCAAACUUGAAGAUUUUCAGUCCCGGCUGGAUGGGUGGUCAAAUCACAAUCCAAGCAUGCCCAACAAGAACUCGACAAGGCUCUUGUCAAAACUUGGAGUCUUCUGGGCACUUGGGAGCUGUUCUUCCUCAUCUGUGAUCUCUCCCUCUCAGCCCCAUUAAUGAGCACGCGUGACCUUCACUAGAGUACAAGAAGUCCAAGGUACUGCCAAGGGCACACCACCAAACAAAAUCCAAGGGAUUGUGAGGUGGGGGAAUGGCUUAAAUGCAAGACUCCAUCAUCGUUUCUCAUUGUAGGGUCAUUUUCCCCUCUUUUUUGAUGUCAACUUUGAGAGGAAGGGUCGUGUUUCUGUGGUUUGGUUUCUCAUUGGUCGUUCGUGUAGGGGAGUUGUCUCUGUGUGUGUCCCUCUGAUGCAGAACCUGUCCAAUUCGUGGGUCAAAGAUGGAAGAUGGGCAGCCCAUAAGGUUAGGGGUCCCCUCUCCCUACCAUGUGGGGGAUAAAGAGUCCUUUUCGUGGCAUGUCGAGUGAAGUUCUUCCCGCUUUAAUGUU